rnacentral:rRNA from 1 species
GCUGGCGGCACGCCUAACACAUGCAAGUCGAACGAAGUAGCAAUACUUAGUGGCAGACGGGUGAGUAACAUGUAGGUAUCUACCCUAUGGCCUGGAAUAACACGAGGAAACUUGUGCUAAUACCGGAUAAGUCUUUACGGAGAAAGCUUUAUGCACCAUUGGAUGAGCCUGCACUUGAUUAG